UAGUCAUUAUGAUAUAAUCAUAUCAUAAUGAUUAUAUGAUAUAAUCAUUAUGACACAGCAGAACAUUGACAUUGUGUAAAUAAUAGGCUCUGUUGUAGGUCUAAGCCAUGCAGGUGCAUCAAUCAGGACAACAGCCGGUGCGUUCAUCCCUGUGUGCUCUGUCUCCAGAAAAAUACCCAACAUAUAAUCCACGUCCUUGGGCACCGGCUGUUGGGUUGAGUGGACCCGGAGCGAUGAAUAAACGAGGCAGAACGACUUGCAAGAGCAGGAACCUUUUCACCCGACGGUCUUUCGUUUCGAUUAGCUUAAAACUGUUUGCAACACCGUGACAUUCUGCCAAACCGGGCUGGAACACAGUGGAAAGAUCCAGCUCCGUCAGUAACAGGAGGGGUGAGGGGACGAGGUCAACACGGAGCAGAAAGGGAAAUCGAUAUGGGCGAGCACCUGAGAGAGCGGCCAAACAGGAAGCAGGAAGGGAAACCAGGGAUCAAGCCAAAACAUAACCCUCCAGGUACUGAAGGAGGGAAAUCAAGACAUCAUCAGUAGCCCCUUAUUCACACAGGGAGGUAAGACGGGUUUGGAGGUGGCAAACUGGAGCCUGAAUCCUGGACAGGUUGUAGGUUUGAAGAUCUGAGGAGUGGGACGAUGGAACGGAGGAGAGUGAUCCACCGGGUGAAGUCCUGGGGAUGCUUGAGCUGCAGUGGAUUGACCCGAAGAGUGGAGGGUACAAGGUCGUGUACAUGUACCGGCACAACAACGUCAGGACUCCGCUGACGUCCGCGAUGCCCGUCCUCCUGAGCAUCAGGACAUCGUGUUGCCUGGUGUAACUGUUAGUCUGCGUGUGCAAGUCAAGAGGGGGAAGCCGGGGAAGGCCGAUGCGUAGAUUACAGUCAGUUCAGCACAUGAUUGCAACAAAUGAAUGGACGAGGUGUACAGUACUGAGCCGCUGGCGCUGAUUACAGCAGUGGUAGGAAUGACUGGGACGCAGAGUUGGACGAUUAUUGGUUUUGUUUGCUUCAGAUUUACAGCACUGGCCAAUUUCCUGUCCUGCGUUAUCUGAUCGCCUGCGCCGGUGCGAUCGGGCAGGACGUCGCUCAGCAGACCGAUCAGUAGGGGGAAAAAAAACAAAAACUAGUCAUGAUUUAUAACUGUGGAUGUGUGAGUGAAUUAUGAAACACAUGAAUGUCUUAUUGGUAGUUCUGUAACCGGGUGGAUGAUUGGAUAAGGAGGAAGAAAAUAGAUUUAUGCAGCUAAAUAUGGCUGCAUGGAUGAAUGACCUCACUAAGAUGUACUAGAGGAUAUAAACUACUAUGGUGGAGAAAUGAUGGCAGCUGUCAUUUUUUUUAUUGUUGGCUCCUUGCAGAAACAUAAACAGCUUAAAAAGGAAAACAAUGCAUAACUAUAGAAACCUGUUAUUUCCAGCUCAACUACUUUCCGGAGUGAAUUGUUAAAAACAUUUCACUCUUUUAUUAUUUCUUUAUAACUGUUGCACAAAUGUGGACACAUUGAUCCCCUAUGGCUAAAAUUGUGUAAAAAAGAGACUCUUCACUUUUUUAUUUUCAAACCACCAUUUAUCCAGUGUAGAAUCACAUCACUAGAAAUAAUUGAGUUGACCUAAAUUGCUGUGAUUUUACUUAACUUUUUUAAGUUGAUGUGCGCUCAAGACACAGUGGCCAAUUUCUUUAUUUAUUUUUGCCACCAUUCACUAGCCAUGUUUCAAGUUAUCAUAAAAUGUUAUUGGGUUUAUGUACAUUUUUUGGACCAGUGAUCCGACUCUUUGGAUAUGCAACACAGUCCGAAAAUUUUGUGAUAACUCCACAUUAUUCUCUGUUUUAGUCUGGUACUUGUAUUAUUAUCAUUGCUAUUGUUAUAAUUGGUUUUUAUAUAUUUUUAUGUUAUUUUUGUGUGAACCUUCAUACCUGAUCCUUCUGUUGAAUUUCCCCUCCGUGGGACAAUAAAGGCUGUUUUUAAA